rnacentral:rRNA from 1 species
UACGGGGGGAGCAAGCGUUGUUCGGAUUUACUGGGCGUAAAGGGCGCGUAGGCGGCUUAACAAGUCACUUGUGAAAUCUCCGGGCUUAACUCGGAACAGCCAAGUGAAACUGUCAAGCUAGAGUGCAGAAGGGGCAAUCGGAAUUCUUGGUGUAGCGGUGAAAUGCGUAGAUAUCAAGAGGAACACCUGAGGUGAAGACGGGUUGCUGGGCUGACACUGACGCUGAGGCGCGAAAGCCAGGGGAGCAAACGGG